GUGACUAGAACUAGGAUUUGUAAAAAGUUCGUGAUUCUCUCAGCCCGUUUAAAGCACAAUGUAGGUGUUGAUCUAGUGAGGGAGUCAAUGAGAUAGAGCAUUGCAGAGCUUGCUAGAGAGGCACAGGAAGUCGCCUGAAGUGAAGGAGGGGGUGGCUGCUGCAGAAGCUAAAGCUUCCGCCAAACAAAAGAGGACAGCACUUCCGGUCACGCCAUCGUCGCUGCCUUCUCCGUCAAGCCCACUGUGCAUCUCCUCACCUGUUUUUUUCCCCACAUCCCAGAUAUGUCAUCACACAGAUGGAGUUUCGCUCUUGUUACCCAGACUGGAGUGCAAUGGCACGAUCUCGGCUCACCGCAACCUCUGCCUCCUGGGUUCAAGCAAUUCUCCUGCCUCAGCCUCCCAGUAGCCGGGACUACAGGUGCGCACCACCAUGCCCAGCUAAUUUUUGUAUUUUUAGUAGAGACGGGGUUUCACCAUGUUGACCAGGAUGGUCUCAAUCUCUUGACCUCGUGAUCCACCUGCCUCGGCCUCCCAAAGUGCUGAGAUUACAGGCUUGAGCCACCGCGCCCGGCCUUAUUUUGCUUUUUCUAUAUGUGUUAAGAAUCUGAAUUUUCAAGAUAUGUCAUUAAAAAUAGUGGCAUAUUUAUUGUGGUUCUUCAUGUCCCUUCAUCCUUUGGCUGCUAUUUGUGUCAACCUGUUUAAUACCAUAACUGCAGUCUCUUACACAAGGCCAAGGUGUUCCAGAAAACAUGUCAUCUCUCUUUAUUACCAAUUGCACAUUAUACUAUUCCUGUUGCCUUUUACAGCAUGUUGCACCUGAGGCUAUCUAUCUGACAGAUAUUGCAUGAAUAGUGUGUUACACACAGAUUUGUGGUUUCCCAGUUGGAAAUUUUGGGACUGUGAGUGUAAGAGAAUCACUAGGCUUAGGAGGGAACCACAUCUCAUUUGUGGCCAGGAGGUGAAGGGGUGUUCUAUAAAUCACUGAAGGAUGUGGGCAAGCUUAUUUUUUAGGAAGGGGCAUUCUAGAGGUCAUAAAGAAAAGAUUUCAGGUGGGAAGGAGAGCAGUGAAACAGCAGAUUCAAGGAGAAGUGGGAGUAGGUUACUACUUUUCAUUCCCUCUAUUUGUCUUCUUGAUUAUAAGAAUAUGUUUCUAGAGUUCUGAAAGGCAAGAAGUGUAAGAGAACAAAGGGAGAGUCAGAGAAGGUGAGAAAGGAAAACAUACACAGUCUGAGAAUGUCAGACGUGAUGGGAGAAUAGUGGGGAAGAUAGAUUGCAACCCUCAGCAUGGAUUGAUAAGUCUUAGGAAAGACAGAUCAUUAAUUAAUUAAUCAAUUAAGUAAAAACAUAGUGAUGACUAGCUGGAUAAUGAGAACACGUAAUUGACUUAAAUGUAUUUUCAACUGAGUGAGAUAGACAUAGACAUUGCAACAGCCAGUGCUUGCUGGAGGAGAGACGAAUGUCUGGUGGUAGCAGUAGAGACAUAGAGGAAGGUCCUCUAACCUAUCUUAAGGGCUCAGAGAAGGCUUCCUAGAAGAGACCAUGUUAAGAACUGAAUUUUGACAAAAAAAGUGUUGAGUGGGAUCAGAGAGCAAGUGGUUAUUUAGACUAUGUAAAGUAGCUGAAUGGGUAUGCCAUUUAGCCUUGAACCUAAAGUAAUGGGCAAUUUAGAGGUUACUCUGUGGUCUAGUAGAGCUAAGGAAAAGGGACAAGUGGAAAGGAAUCGUUUUAUAAAUGGUUAAAUUUAUGCUAUAAUAUGUAUCACUUUAGUUAAGAGCAACCUCUUCUAUUUUACCCAGUAUGCCAUGAAAUGAUCAUUUUCUGUAUAUGUUGUGACAUGAACAAAUAUAAGCAUGUAUUUGGAUAUUGAAAAUGCAUUGUGUUCUCUGUAUCAAGGGGUUUUCAUAAAUUCUCUUGAAUCGUGCCAACAACCCUAUGGAGGUGGAAACUGACUUCAAGAUGAAGUGACACACAUAACUGUCUGUUAGAGACUGAACUGAGAUUAAAACUAUGUCAUUGUCCAUUUGCUGGAUGUCCAAGGUUUACAGUGUCUUCAUAACCUAUGCCAAUCCUACUCUUGCACAGGUAACUAUUCUUUUAAGUAAAGUGAAAUUUAAAAUGACUUCCAUCUUAUCACUUUGCAGGACUGUUCAGUUAAUGACUUUCAGCAGUCAGUAUCCUGAGUUUUGUUUCUCAACUAUGGUCAUCAUUGUCAUAUAUAAAAUGCCCUGACCAUCAUUUUGAAGCUUGACCUCUUUCCAAAUCCCCAUCCCUUAAAUUUGUUUUCUUCUAGUAUGGGGCCAGGCAUGUGAAAUUAUGUUCAGAUCAUAAUCCUUUGUACCACCUUUCCAGAAAAAAAAAAAAAAAACAACUCAUCCUUCUUAGCCAAAUCCCUCUUUCUUGUCAAAGAAAUGUCCCUUAGUCUGCUUAGUGUUAUCAUAACAUUUAUUUUUAAAAAUAUGUUUAUUUAGCUCGUGGUUAUGCAGGCUGGGCAGUUCUAGUGGCAUGGUGUUGGCAUCUGCCCAGCUUCUGGUGAGGGUUUUUGUGCUGUAUCAUAACAUGGGGAAGGUCCAAAGGGUGAGAGGGGAGACCCCAUUGCCUCCUUCAACUUCACCUCUUCCACCCACUUUCAGAUGGGAAGGAGAGUGAAGAAGGGAAAAAAAUAAAAUAAAAUACUAAAGAGCUGGGAAAAUGACUCCCUUUUUAGUUCCCAGCGUCUCUGCUAUCUGUUACCUUGAAAGAGCUGCAAAUGAAUGCUAUCUCUGUGGGCUCGAGCCCGGCACUGGUUCACUCCCCCAUGUCUCCAUGGACCAGACUCCCUCUUGGAAACACCUCUGCCAACAAACAGCUUGUUGCUUUUGUCUUGUCUCUGUAAGCCCCCUUCCCUUGCUGGUCCCUGCUCAUGCUGCAUAUGAAUUAGCAAAUCAAUGAAGCCAAAAGAUUGUAAGGUUGGACAUCCAGCAAAUGGACAAUGACAUAGUUCUGCCUCAGUUUCCCUUUUAGCAUUGUCAGCCUAUAAAAGGGAAGAGAAGCUGCAGCUCAGGGAGCUUGGUGAAUGAGGCUGAAGCCCCCCGCAGCUCCUGGCUGAAUAAAAAAGCCACUUCCUUCCUCAGUUCCGUGUUCGAGAGGUUUGUUCCCUGCUGUUCCUGCUACAGGGGGACAUGGCCUUGUGCAAAGGGACAAAACUUGAGGGACACCCUGGUCUUAUAACAACCCACUCUCACAGAAACUAAUUGCAUGAGAACUCAUUCACUUUUGUGGGAACGACACCAAGCCAUUCAUGAGGGAUUUGCCACCAUGACCCAAACACCUCCAACUAGGCCCCACCUCUAACACUGUCACACUGGGGAUUAAGUUUCAGCAUGAGUUUUGGUGAAGACAACUGUAUCCAAACAAUAGCAGCCCCUUUCCUGCUUUUUGCCUACCUUCCUAGGGGGAAAAUACAGAACAUACUUAACUCUUGGAGAGUUUUGGGUUCCCAGGACAAAUCCCUGCUUCCUUUCCAUUUAGGACUUCUAGGCUUCAGAUGACUGUUAUCUCCUAGUUGAGGCCUGAAUAUAUAGACUGACUCUGAGAUCUUUAGGAAACUGAGAAGAUUUAGUGCUGGAGUUGCCCUAGUGAUUAUUUUUGAUUGACACCAGCUGUGCCCCAAACAAGAUACUGGAUAUUUAGAUGAGUCAGACAAAGACCUGCCCUCAAAGACCUCUUAGUUUUGUGUGAAGGAGGAACAUGUAAACAGCAAUUACACAGAUAAAUAGCAUGAUAUUGUGGAAGCACAAAGGAAUGUGAUCUAAUUGCAGGGGGCAGGUAGCAAGGAAGUCUUUUGGGUGGAGAUAACAUCUGUGCUAGAUAUCGAAAGAUGGUAUGAGAUAAUAGAAGAAGGUAAAGAGUGGUAAGAGGGGUAGGCAGUCAGUAAGGUCAUGGACAGCUUUUUUUGUUUCUUUGAGAUGAAGUUUCACUUUUGUUGCCCAGGCUGGAGUGCAAUGGCACGAUCUCAGCUCACUGCAGCCACCGCAUCCCAGGUUCAAAUGAUUCUCCUGCCUCAGGAGUAGCUGGGAUUACAGGCAUGCACCACCACACCCAGCUAAUUUUGUAUUUUUAGUAGAGACAGUUUCUCCAUGUUGGUCAGGCUGGUCUUGAACUCCUGACCUCAGGUGAUCCACCCUCCUCGGCCUCCCAAAGUGCUGGGAUUACAGGCGUGAGCCUCCAUGCCUGGCGGGAUGGCCUUUUUUAUGCUAAUAGGCUGGAACUCAGUGGAGAGGGGUUUAAAGUGGGGGGGGGGGAGGAUGUCAUGAUCAGAUUAUCACUCUUGAAAGGUCACUGAAUUAGAACUGAAAGUUCCCAUUGAGCAAGGUAACAUAUUCUGUAUGUUUGAAAGUGUUUCUAGUUCGCUGUUACUACAAGUUGUCCCCAUUUUUAUUUUUACUAUAUGCCGUGUUUAACAGCAUAUUACAUACUUUGAGAAUACUGUCUCUGGUCUAACACAAGCGUAUAAGUUACGUAAUAUCAUUUCUGUUUCAUAUAUAAAUAGUAUUUCAGGGAAGUCAAGGGUGACAUAAUAAAGAUAAUUUUGAGUUAGGUAUAGAGCUGUGAUUUUCCAAAUUUUGCUCCUCCAGCCUUUCCAGAAACUUGGGUAAGGAAGGGUCAGGUUUCUGGGUUCUCUGCUUGUGCCCCAACAAGAAUUACUCUGUUCUAUUUCUUAUUUACUGUGCCCUUGGAUAAGGUUUUGUUUAGAAAAACAGGAACUGCAUCUUUGAAAAUUAAUUCAAAUGCAAAGAUGCUAUACUUCAGGAUACUGGGGACAAAGAAACGAAGACAGACAAAAAUAGUAUUAAUUUGACGGAAUGAGUAAGAUGUAGAUGGCUAAAUAUAGAAGCAAAGGAGGAAUUUAGGAUGAUGCUGUUUUUGUUUCUGGCUUGGGAGACUCAGAGGAUAUGGUGCCAUUGAAGAAGGGGCAGGGAGGUUAUGCCCACUUUCAUGUUUUUGUGGGAUAACCACAAAGAUGUGUCUGGUUGGCAGUUAGAUAUAUUGCUUGGAGUUUAAGAGGGGGAUCUGGGGUGAAGAUAAACAUUGGAUGUUUAUUGACACAGAAAAAGUUGAAACUAUGGAGGUGAAUGAGAUUGCUUAGGCCAGUAUGGUCCUACAGAAAUAUAUUGUAAGCCACAUGUAUAAUUUUAAAAAUAAACUUUAUUUUGGAUUUACAAUAAUAUUACCAGCAUAGUCCGGAAAGUUCCUCUAUACCCCACAUUCAGUUUCUGCUAUUGUUGACAUAUUAAAUUAUUAAUGUACAUUUGUCACAACUAAUGAACCAAUAUUGAUAUAUUGUUAUCAACAAAAGUCCAUACGUUAUUCAGAUUUCCUUAUUUAAAAAAUUUAGGGCCCUGUCCUCCCUUAGACAUCCUGGGUGCCACAUGGCUGCUUAAGACUAAGGAUGACUGGAGAAGACAUGAGGGAGGGUACCCAUGUCAGUUUAAAACUUCUUUUCAGUAGUUUAAAAUCUUAAAGUUAUGUUAAUAUUAAAUUAAUAAUCAUAAAAUGCCUAAGUCAUUUAAGUUAAAAUAUUAAACAUUAAUUAUUAAGCAUAAGCUUAAGUUGAUAUAUUUUAGCAUCUUAUUUUUAAAUGGUAUAGAAAAGCUAAAUAUAUUUAGAUUUGUUAAUGAACAAAAAUUUGAGGUCUUGAGCAGUGGCUCAUGCCUGUAAUCCUAGCACUUUGGGAGGCCAAGGCAGGAGGGUCGCUUGAACCAGGAGUUUGAGACCAGCUUGUGCAACAUAGAGAGACCCUGUCUCUACAAAAAAGAAAAAAAAAUAGCUGGGCAUGGUGGCACACACCUGUGGUCCCAGCUACUCCUCAGAAGGCUGAGUUGUGAGAAUCACUUGAGUUUGGGAGGUCAAGGUUGCAGUGAGCCGUGGUUGCGACACUGCCCUCCAGCCUGGGUGACAGAGCAAGACCGUAUAUCAAAAAAAUAAAAAUAAAAAAAAAAGAGAGAGAGAAAUAAAAAGAAAAGCAAGGUAUGUUUUUGGCAAGGAAAGGCACAAAAAUGUGUGUUUAUUAAAGAAUUUGUCUAGUUUAAAAGUUGCUUAAAGAUCAUUUCAAAUUAAAUAAAUCAAAAGAGAUAUAAAUAAAACACAAAACAUGGAAAAGAGAAAAUUUAAAAAGUACCUCCAGGAUAUUAUAUUACAUUUAGUCAUUAUAUUUCUCUAGGAUACCCUUUGUUAUGCCAAUUUCUCAGGCUUUCCUUGUUUUCGAUGACCUUCAUAGUUUUGAGGAGUAUUCAUCAGGGUUGUAGAAUGUCCCUCAGUUUGAGUUUGUCUGAUAUUUUUAUCCUGGUUAGACUAGCGUAUGGGUUUUGAUUUUGUUUCUUAGAGGGCACAGAGAUAAAGUACUAUUCUCAUUGCACAAUGAGGACGUCCUGCGAAUAUGACUUAUCUGCGAGGAGAGGAAUCUUGAAUACUGGUCUGGGGUAGUGUUUGCCAGGUGACUCCACUGUAAAAUCACUUUUUUUCACCUUCCCAUUCUGUAUUCUUUUCAGGGAAGCCACUAUGUACAGUCCAAACUUAAGGGAUGGGUGUUAUGCAUCUCCUUUUGGCGGAAUUUGGAAUUUUUCUCUACAAGAGAUUUGACUUCUGUCCUCCAUUUACACAUCUAGUCAUUUAUCUGUAUCAAUAUUGACCCAUGAAUAUUUAUUUUAUACUCUGGGUUCUAGUCCAGUACUACAUUAUUUACAUUAUUAACUUUGUUGCUCAAAUUGUUCCAGCUUUGGGCCAGGCAUGGUGGCUCAUGCCUGUAGUCCCAGCACUUUGGGAGGCCAAGGCAGGUGAAUCACUUGAGGUCAGGAGUUCAAGACCAUCCUGGCCAACAUGGCGAAACUCUGUCUCUACUAAAAAUAGAAAAAGUAGCCAGGUGUGGUAGCGCACACCUGUAAUCCAAGCUACUCAGGUGGCUGAGACAGGAGAUUGCUUCAACCCUUUAGGUGAAGGCUUCAGUGAGCCGAGAUCACACCACUGUACUCCAGCCUGGGCAACAGAGCAAGACUCUGUCAAAAAAAAAAAAAAUUGCUCCAGCUUUGGUUAUUGGGGCAAUUUUAGAUUCACUCUUGUGUCUCUUGAAAUGCCCCCAUUGUUUUGUUUUUUUGAGUACUUCCUUACUUUCUGGAACACAAGAUACACCAGGCUCAUAUUGUAUAUUCCAUGCCCCAGCCCUAGAAUUAGCCAUUUCUCCGAGAUCCCUUUCUUUUAUUAGAGUAUGGUAUUACACACCAAGGUCCAGGUGUUGUGUGUACUCAUUGCUAUCAAUGUGUCAAUGCUUCUAGGCCUCUGAGCAGACAGAGUUAGGAAAUAUGUAUACUAAUCACGUAUUCACAUGUAUUUAUAAAUAUUUAUGUAUAUUCCAUCUUUAUCUUAAGCUAAACAUGAGUUUAUACUGAUGACUCUGAUUCUAAUCCAGUACCAUGAACAUGGUUUAUUCUAGCCUUCCCAACUUGCUUAUCUGUAACCUCUCAUUCCAGUGACAAACCUUGUUCCCACCACCCUCCAUCCAUUCACUUGUUUGUUCAAUUCCAGUAUGCAUGUAUGGCAGUUUCAGAAUUACUAAUUCAUACUCCACAAGAAACAACUUCACCAGCUAUAGUACAGCACUUGUGUAGUUUAUUUUGUCUUUACUCUUAUAGUCUCUACUCAUUUCCAAAGUUACCUAGGGUGGCACCUUUCCUUUCUACCCUCUUUAGGAAGGUUCUAGCAUACAUCUGUAAAUCAGUUAAAAUUUUUGUCACCAUAUGCAUUCCAUCCUGUUAUCCCUUGCCCUCCUAGUUGACAUUUAAAACAUUUACAUAAAUUAAGGUUCACUCUUAUGCUGUAAGGUUCUGUGGGUUUUGACAAAUGGAUAACAUCGUGUACCACUGCAGUGUCAUACAGAAUAAUUUCACCAACCUAAAAAGUACACUCUGCACUUCAUUUGGUCAACCCUACUUCCCUCCCUAAACUCUUGGCAACUACUAAUUCUUUUCCUCUAUGAUUUUGUUUUUGAACAAUGUUACAUAAAUAGAAUCAUGCAGUAUGUCUUCUUUUCAGACUCUCUUUUUCACUUAAAAUAUGCAUUUCAGAUUCACUCGUGUUGUUACAUGGGUUAACAGCUCAUUAAAUUUUAUCACUCUUUUGUUGUUGCAUUACAUUUUUAUGUUUAUGCCUAAUGAAUAAUUUUAUAGAUAUUGUUUUAUGCUGUUGACUUUUAAACAUGUUAAGAGAAGAAAUAUUAGUUACCCUGUUUUUAUAUUUAUCUUCAUAAUGGCCUUUACCAUUGCUAUUUGUUUUUGUGUGGAUUCAUAGUACACUCUGGAGUCAUCUUUCAGUCUGAAUAACUUCUUUUAGUAUUUCCUUCUUUUUUUACUUUAUUUUCUUGAGUCGGAGUCUUGCUCUGUUGCCAGGCUGGAGUGCAGUGGUGUGAACUCAGCUCACUACAACCUCCGCCUCCCAGGUUUAAGCAAUUCUCCUGCCUCAGCCUCCUGAGUAGCUGGAAGUAUAGGCACGUGCCACCAUGCCCAGAUAAGUUUUGUAUUUUUAGUAGAGACGGGGUUUCACCAUGUUGGCCAGGUUGGUCUUGAUGUCUUGACCUCAUGAUCUGCCCUCCUCAGUCUCCCAAAGUGCUGGGAUAACAAGUGUGAGCCCCCAUGCCUGGCUGUCUUUUAGAAUUUCUUGCAAGGCAGGUCUGGUAACAACAAAUUCCCCCAGUUUUUGUUUAUCUAGUAAUAUUUUUUGUUUUUGUUUUUUUUUGAGACUGAGUCUCACUCUAUUGCCCAGGCUGGAGUGCAGUGGUACAGUCUUGGCUUACUGCAAUUUCUGCCUCCCAGAUUCAAGCAAUUCUCAUGCCUCAGUCUCCUGAGUAGCUGGGAUUACAACACCUGCCACCACACCCAGCUAAUUUUUUGCAUUUUUAGUAGAGAUGGAGUUUCACCAUGUUGGCCAAGCUGGUCUUGAACUCCUGACCUCAAAUGAUCCUCCCGCCUCAGCCUCACAAAGUGCUGGGAUUACAGGAUUGAGCUAUAGCACCCAGUCUAUCUGGUAAUAUAUUUUUUUAAAUUCUGCCUUGCUUUUUUUUUUUGAGACAGAGUUUUGCUCUUGUUACCCAGGCUGGAGUGCAAUGGCGCAAUCUCGGCUCAUCGCAACCUCCGCCUCCUGGGUUCAGGCAAUUCUCCUGCCUCAGCCUCCUGAGUAGCUGGGAUUACAGGCGCGUGCCACCAUGCCCAGCUAAUUUUUUGUAUUUUUAGUAGAGAUGGGGUUUCACCAUGUUGACCAGGAUAGUCUGGAUCUCUUGACCUCGUAAUCCACUCACCUGGGCCUCCCAAAGUGCUGGGAUUACAGGCAUGAGCCACUGUGCCCGGCCUUUUUUUUGUUAGUAAUUCUGUUUUUAAAUUAAUAUAUAAUGCACAAAAAAUAAAAAUGAACAUUUUAAGGUAUAAAAUUAAGUGAUUUUAAAAGCAUAUUUACAAAGUUGUGCAACCAUCAACACUAUUUCAUUCCUGAACAUUUUCAUCACUCCCAAAAGAAAUCCUGUAUACAUUAUUAGUCACCCCCAAGUCCCCAUUCUCUCAGCCCGUGGCAACCACUAAUAUACUCUGUCUCUCUGAAUUUCCCUAUUCUGGACUUUUCAUAUAAAUAGAAUCUUGCAAUAUGUGGCCUUUUGUGUCUCGCUUCUUCCACUUAGCAUAAUGUUUUCAAAGUUUAUCCAUGCUGUUGCAUUUCUCAGUAUUUCUGUCCCUUUUUAUGGCUGAAAGAUAUUCCAUUGUAUGAAUACCUUUUAUGUAUUUGUUAUCAGAUUGUAGAUGGACAGAUGAGUUGUUUGUACUUUUUGGCUAUUAUGAAUAAUGCUGCUAUGAGCUUUUAUUUUAUACAUUUGGUAUACAUUUUUGCACUAACAUAUGUUCUCGUUUCUCUGGUGUAUACACCUAGGAGUGAAAUUGACAGUAACUCUAUAUUUAACUCUUUGAAGAACUGUCAAACUUUUCCAAAAUGGCUCUACCACUUACAUUCCUAUCAGGAAUGUAUGAGCAUUCUGAUUUCUCCACAUCCUUACUAACACUUGUUGUUUUCCCUUUUUUUUUUAAUUACAACCUUCUUAGUGAGUAUAAAUAAUAAAGAAUCUCACUUAAUUUUUAAAAUAUAAGAUUUAACUACUGACAUCUUUUAAGCCUCACCUCUCCAUCUUCAUUUUCUGCCCCACAACUGGGUAACGUGAUUAGAAAGCCUAGUGCUUCCUCCUUUGGAGCUAGCAAGAGAUUCAGAUCAUGCAAGUGUCUUCCUGAAAGAAAGAACCCUCACUCCUGCCUCAUCCUUUAACCACAAUAAAAACUCAAAGUUAAUUUCCUUUCCUUUUUCUAUCUUGCUCGGGAGACUUGCCUUGCUCUCUCUAGAAAUGCAUCAUUUAUAUAAGUAAGUAGUAAACAUUUUCAUACCCUCUGUGUGUGAGGUGUUAUCAGUCUGAACAUUGGAAUCAAAGCUUGGGUGGGGUCCCUCCUUCUUCUGCAGGAUGGCAAGACCAAUUGGCACAGUGAGCUUGGUGCUCAGAUAAGGAGAGAGCCAUCAUGCGGGGAAGGGAGUAUGUUUCCAUAAUUGCUAUGGCUCACUAAUUGGUUCUCAUGGCAAGCAUAAUCACUGAACCUGCAAGGCUAGCUUAUUUUUUAGUUGUGCUAUGCUGUGUUGUAUUGCUGACUCCUAUAGAAACCUUUCAUAGAUUUAGUUAACUUGGAAGUUUAGAUAAUUUAAUUGACAUUUAGGAACAGUAGUAUGGGAUCCUUAAAGUAGCCCUGGAUCAUAUGUCUCAGCUCAGACCUAUUUGCAUCUUAACAUAAAGCUGUGACUGAUGCUAGGCUCAGGAGGACAACCGUGUCUAUGACUAGUUGGUUAUGUGUCUCAAUUAGGCUCUGACCCUGACAGCUGACUGCCCAUUGGGUGGCGGCUCUUGAGAGCAGUCAUUAGGGCGUGAAAAAAAGAGCAAGAGAAGAGAAAAGAAACAGCUGUUAUGUGGCUUGCUGUGGUCUGCACUCCUAAGCACAAAUGACUCACUAGGACCCUUAAAUACCUCCGUUGCUGUUGCUGGUGCUGGUGCUGGUGCUGCUGCCUCUGCUGCCACUGCCACUGCCACCACCACUGCCUGUGCUUCUGUUGCAACAAAGAUCCUGAUCUUCAGGAGUAUAGGGAAAAACAUCAGUGGCACCCCUGUUGCUUGGAGAAAGGGGUAAUUCAAGUCCAACUAAAGCCCCUAGUCCUUUAAUCUUAUAUGACCACCAUUGGCUUUGGGGAGGCCCCUUACAGUGACAAUGUUGACGGGCGACUUUCUGAAGGAAGACAUUUGUAAAUAUGAGCAGGGUAGGGACCCCCAGAAAUAUACCCAGUAACAACAGCAACAACAAAAAAGAAGUACAGCCAUGUACAGCAUUAUGAUGUUUUGGUCAAUGAUAGACCACAUAUGAGGAUGGUGGUCUCAUAAGACUGUAAUGGAGCUGAAAAAUUUCUAUCACCUGGUGAUGUCAUAGCUGUUGUAACAUUGUAGUGCAACGUGUUACUCACGUAUUGAUGGUGAUGUCGGUGUAAAGAAGCCUGCACUACCAGUCGUACAUAAUAAUUGUUACAUAGUCGUACAUAAUAAUUGGUACACAAUAAUUGAUAAUGAUAAAAAACAGCUAGGUGUGGUGGCUUAUGCCUGUAAUCCCACCACUUUGAGAGGCCAAGGUGGACAGAUCACUUGACGCUAGGAGUUUGAGACCAGUCUGGCCAACAGGGUGAAAAUCUAUCUUUAAAAAAAAAAAAUGGGCUGGGUGCGAUGACACAUGCCUGUAGUCUCAGGUACUCUGGAGGCUGAGGCAUGAGAAUCGCUUGAAUCUGGGAGGCAGAGCUUGUAGUGAGCCAAGAUUGUGCCACUGCACUCCAGCCUGGGUGACAGAGCAAGACCCUGUCUCAAAAAAAAAAAAAAAGAGAAAAAACAACCAUGUUUAUGCAUUUACUAUAUCACAAUUUUUAUUAUUAUUUUAGAGUGUAAUCUUUCUACUUAUUAAAAGAAAAGUUAACUAUCAAUGGCAGGCAGGUCCUUCAGGAGGUAUUCCAGAAGAAGGCAUUGUUAUAGGAGAUGACAGCUCCAUGUGUAUUAUUGCUCCUGAAGAACUUCCGGUGGAACAGGAUGUGGAGGUGGAAGACAGUGAUAUUGGUGAUCCUGACUCUGUGUAGGGCAAGCCUAAUUUGCAUGUAUCUUAGUUUUUUAGAAAAAUAAAUAAAUGAAUUUUAAAACAGAAAUAAGCUCAUAGAAUAAGAAUAUAAAGAAAGAAAAUAUUUCUAUAUAGCUGUACAAUGUGUUUGUGUUUCAAAAGCUAAGCAUUAUUACAAAAGAGUCAAAAAAAUUUUAAAAAGUUUAUAAAGUGAAAAGUUAUAGUAAGCUAAGGUUAAUUUGUCACUGAAAGAAAUUUUUAAAGCAUGAUUUUGAUGUAGCCUCAGUGUACGUUAGUGUACAAUAAUGUCCUAGGCCUUCACAUUCACUCACCACUCAUUCACUGACCCACCCAGAACAACUUCCAGUCCUACAAGCUUCAUUCAUGGUAAGUGCACAAUACAAGUGUACCAUAUUUUUGUCUUUUUUUUUUUGAGACGGAGUUUCACUUGUCACCCAGGCUGGAAUGCAAUGGUGCAAUCUCCGCUUACUGCAACCUCUACCUCCCAGAUUCAAGUAAUUCUCCUGCCUCAGACUCCUGAAUAGCCAGUAUUACAGGUGCCCGCCACCAUGCCUGGCUAACUUUUGUGUUUUUAGUAGAGACAGAGUUUUGCCAUGUUGACCUGGCUGGUCUCGAACUCCUGGUCUCAAGUGAUUCACCUGCCUUGGCCUUCCAAAGUGCCGGGAUUAUAAGCGUGAGAGACCAUGCCUGGCCAUAUUUUUGUCUUUUAUACCAUAUUUUUACUGUACCUUUUCUAUGUUUAGGUAGGUUUAGAUAUACAGAUACACAAAUACGAAGAUACACAAAUUGUAUUCAGUAUAGCAAUGUGCUGUACUGGACUAUAGUCUAGGAGCAAUAGUCCAUACCGUAUAACACAGGUGUGUAGUAGUCUUUAUCAUCUAGGUUUGUGUAAGUACAUUCUGUGAUAUUCACACAGCGGUGAUGGUGAUGAAACCACCUAAUGACCCAUUACAUUUCUCAGAAUGUAUCUCCAUUGUUAAGUGACACCAUGACUGUAAAAGAAAGAAAAACAGCAGAUAUGAGAGGACAAGGAAACAAACAGGAAAGAAGAUCUGUGAUUUGACCCAAUUAGAAUCCAGAAUUUAUGGAAAGAUUUUACUAAAAGAGCAAAAAACAAAAGGGUGCUGAUUGGUGUUGAAAUGCAGUGGGUGGCAAAACUUCAUGACCUUAAUUAAUACUGGGGCUCAAAUUGGUUAUAUGUCAGGAUCCCACUAUAUUUAAGCAAGGUACCUCCUAUUAUCUAAGGGGAGUUCCUGAACAUGAAAGAGAUAAACAAAUAUGCCUCACAUUAACUAUCAGAAUUAUUGCCUUGCCUGAAUUCCUCACAUUCGUACCAUUCAUUGCCUUAAAAUAUCCCCUAGUGGGUAGUAUGAGUACUCUGAUGUAAUGAGUGAUAAAAUUAAGUAUUUGGCACAUGUGAAUCAGUUUGGCAAUGUGAGAUCCCAAGGACUAUACCCCAGUAAAAAUAGGUUAAUACAGCCCACUAUAAAUUAGAAUAUAGUCUACAAAUAUGGCAGCCCCUGAUACAAGGCCUAUUUGGUGAAAGGGUGAUUAUCCCCAUGUCUUCUCCUUUAACGACCCAAUUUGGCCGUUUUUUUUUUUUUUUUGUGAGCAGGCUGGAGUGCAGUGGCGCAAUCUCAGCUCACUGUAACCUCCACCUCCUGGGUUCAAACGAUUCUCCUGCCUCAGCCUCCCGAGUAGCUAGGACUGCAGGCACACGCCACCAUGCCCGACUAAUUUUUUGUAUUUUUAGUAGAGACGGGGCUUCACCGUGUCAGCCAGGAAGGUCUCAAUCUCCUGACCUCGUGAUCCACCCACCUCGGCCUCCCAAAGUGCUGGAAUUAUAGGCAGGAGCCAAUGCGCUGGCCUUAGCCUGUUCUUAAAACUUCAAAUGAAUGGAACCUAAUGGUGGAUUACCAUAAUGCUAAUGUUGUGGUCCCACACAUUAAGGUCCCCAUACCCAGUAUUGUUGACAUUACUGACUUCAUCCAGUUUGUGACUGGUAAAUAUUUCGCUUUUAUAGAUUUGGCUAAUUUGUUCUGUUCACUGUCUAUUUCAGCAGCCGUUCAGCCUCAGUUUGCCUUCACCUCUGAAGGGACACAAUAAACAUUUACCUGGCUGCUUAUGGGAUACCUGAACAGUUUUGCCAUUGUACUCUAUCUUUGCUGGCAAGAUCUUAACUGUACUGAGCUUUUUCUAGGUGUAGAGGUAUGACAUUACAUUGAUGACACCCUUCCCCGAGGAGAUUCAUUUGACACACUCAUUCAGGAAAUACACAUAGUCACAAAAUUGCUGACAAAAUGGGAUGGCCAUUGUUCCACAUGUAGUGCAAGGGCCUACCACUUUGUUUUAAUACCUACACAUUAUUUGCUAAACUGAAGACCAUUCUGUCUCUGACACUGUCAGAAAAGCAGCUAUUGACCCUGUCAGCACCCACAACUUCUUUUAGGCUCAUUUGUGUUCUGGUGACAAAAUAUUCCUCUUUUAUAAAUUUUGUAGAUGCCCCAUUUAUCCUAUUUCUUACAAAUCAGUUCAUCUUGAAUGGGGAUUCCUUCCAACAAAAGACGUUAGAAUCUGUCAAAAUUGCAAUAUGACAGACAUUAUUGUUAGUGACCCCAGAUGUGCUUCACCAUGGAGAUUUUAGCAACUUCCUGUUUCUCCUAGAUUCUCUGGACCAUCCAUGAUUGCCAUGAAUUGCCAAGGGUUUCUGAUGCAAGAAACUUGUCAUCCUUGGACCUGUUCUAUACACAAUUAGUGUGACAAUUGCUAGCUGCAUAGUGGGCUCUCUUAGAAAUAGAAGCUAUCACAAUCCCUGAGCCUGUGACCCUCCAUAUCCAGCUGCCUAUUGUGCCUUGGGUCAUGGAAGCCAUGGCACUACAAGUUGGGCAUGGUUACUGAGGCCUCCUUGCUACAAGAUGGAGAAAAACCCGGGUCUUCUGUCAUAUACCACUUGGAGGAAGGGGUGGCCUCCCCUGGCUUUAGUUCCUUGCCAAAUACCAUGGUGUUGGAGGAUGUCACCCCUCUCCCAGACCUUGUGGCUACCUGCAGAACCCCUUGAGAUCAAUGGAGUGAAAAACAAUGGUUUGUACGCUUUAUGGAUGAUAUCACAAGCAUUGUAUGCAACGGAGUUUGCUGGAGAGCUUAUGCUUUUCAUCUUGUAACCAAGAUGCUUCUGAUAAGAACAGGACACAGGGAUCAGUACAGUUGGCCAGACUUCAGACAUUCACCUUAGCACUGUAUGCCCUAGCCAACAAUUGGCCCUUCCGCACAUUUUGACAGACUCUUGAGCCAUUGCCUACGAGUUGCCCCAUUUGGGGAAAGAACUCUGAGAAUCUCUAACAUCACAGAAACCCAAAAUGUAAAUCAAAAUAACACAUUUAUCUUUGUAUGGUAAAGGUCAAACAUAAGGUCACACCAAGAGACUCCUCGUUUUCCUUUGGAAUUUGAGGCAUCACUGAUAGUGACCAAGGCACGCAUUUCAUUUCUUAGAAUAUACAAUUUUGGGCUUAAUGAAGGAAUUCAACAAAACAUUUACUUUCCUUACAGACUUCAUUCUGCAGGACUUACAGAGCACCAUACUGGCUUCAUUAAACAAAUUUAUAUUUAAGUAAAUGAAACAUGGCACAUUUCAGUCAUUAGACAAACAUCGGGGUGAAUUGUAAGAUUCUGACUCUAAUUUUUGAAGUUUGCUCACAUUUUUAAGCUUCACCCUCUUCCCCUCUGCCCCACAUCUGGGCAGGUUGAUAAGAAGCUCUGGUUGCUCCCUUAUUGGUGUCAGGAAAAGAUUCAAACCAUGGAAGCCACUUCAUGUGCAUAGGAACCCUUACCCUGGGCCCUAACUACAGUGAAAACCCUUUGUGGUUGUCUCCUUUCCUUGUUCUGUCAAGUCAUUUCUUACCUGCUUGGGAAGCCUGCCCUUCUCUACCAAGAAAAUAUUCAUUUAGGUAAGUAUUAAACCUUCUUGCACCCUCUUGGUGUGUUUAACCAGUCUCCACGUCUAACCUAAGUUUGGGAUGGAGAUCCCUUCUUCCUCUUCACAGUGUCAAGUAGUACCCAAUUGAGGUUCUUAUUUGCAUUUCCCUAAUGACUAAAGAUAUUGAAUGUAUUUCCAUGUCCUUAUUGACCAUUUGUAUAUCUUCUUUAGAGAAAUAUCUAUUCAAAUCCCUUUUACUUUUUGAAUUACAUUGCUUAUAUUUUUAAUUGUUUAGUUAUAUGACUUUUUAUGUAUUGUGGGUAUUAAGUCCCUAGCAGAUAUAUGAUUUUCAAUUGUCUUCCAUUCUAUGGGUUGUCUUUUUACUUUCUUGAUAGUGUCUUUUGAGGACAAAAGUUUUUCAUUUUGAUGAAGUUCAAACUAUCUAGUUUUUCUUUUAUAGCUUGUGCUUUUGUGUCUUAUAUAAAAGUUGUUUCUUAAUCAAGUUCACAAUGAUUUACACCUAUGCUUCUGUGAGUUUUAUAAUUUUAGCUUCUACAUGUAAGUCUUUGAUCUUUUUUGAGUUUAUUUUUGUAUGUGGUGUGAGAUAGGGGUCCAAUUUCAUUUACAUAUGGAUAUCCAGUUGUCCUGGCACCAUUGUUUAAGAGACUAUAAUUGGCACUCUUGUCAAAAAUCAAUUUACCAUAAAUAUAAGGGUUUAUUUCUACUCUUUCAAUUCUGUUCAUCAGUCUGUAUGUCUACAAUUAUUCUAGUACUGUAGAAUCUUAGUAACUGAAGCUUUGUAGUAAGUUUUGAUAUUAGGAAGCAUGACUCCUCCAACUUUGUUUCACGUUUUCAAAAUUGUUUUGACCAUUUUCAGUUACUUCCAUUUUAGUAUUAAUUUAAGGUUAGUUUGUCUGUUUCUGCACAGUAGGUAUUUAGAAUUUUAAUAGGAAUUUCACUGAAUCUAUGAGACAUUGGUUAUGUUGGUGUCUCUGUUCGGGUGCCAGCUGUGAUGAGUGUCAUGUCAGGGUCACCACCUGAGAUGUUGAUUACGUUGGUGUUACCACCUGAGGCAUUGAUCACCACCUGCGGAGGUCUAGUCUGUAGACCCCGACUUAGCGAUGGAUGAAGUAUAUCCUUAGACCCAGUACAGUGAUUUGAGUAUGCUAGGGAUGGUUGUCAACUGCUUUCAGAGGGCAAUUGCAGCUAACCAACCAUGACUCACUGUUUUUUUCCACAUUUAUUCAGUAUAGAUUUAAUAACAGAGGUUUUAAGUUAACAUGCUUGUGGAUAAUUAACAUGGUUAAAAGAGUGGUUUUAUAAAUGACAAAAGGUUUUGUUUCCAGGGUCUAGAAUAAACACCAUUAAUGGGUAAUUUCCCUUCUACCUCUCUCUGAGAGGGCCAUCCAGCACAAAGUGUACAUGAGUAAACAGUAAAGGAAUGUGGGGUAAACAGGACUUAACUGGGGAAGCUUUUAUUAUUCUAAUAUUUACCCUAUGACUUAAAGUUCUAACUAAGAACUGGCUGCCUUGAGCCCGUUCCAUUAAAACCUUUCGGCCUUCCAAAAGGUUUGAGACUAUAAUUUUAUAACUUUCCCUAACAUUUCCCUAAUAUUUUGCCAGCCAUCCCGAGUGAAUCCCAACAACUUUAUAGAUCAGUUUGGACAGUAUUGUCAUCUUAACAAUAUUAAAUCUUAUAAUUCAUGAACCCAAGUGUUUUCCCAUUUUUGAAGGUCUUAAAUUUCUUUCAGCAAUGUUUUGUAGUUUUUAGUGUACACAUUGUGGUCCCACACAUUAAGGUCCCCAUACACAAUAUUGUUGACAAAUCUUUCACCUCCUUGGCUAAAUGUAUUCCUAAGUGUUCAAUUCUUUUUUCAUGUUAUUGCAAAUAGACCUGUUUUCUAAGUUUUAUUUUAUUUUUAAUUAACACACAAUAAUUCUAUUUAUUUCUGUGGGUAAGUAUGAUGUUUCAAUAGUUGUAUACAAUGUGCAAUGAUCAAAUCAGGAUAUUUAGCAUAUUCAUCACCUCAAAUAUUUAUCAUUUCCUUGUGAUAAGAACACUCAAAAUCCUUCAUCUAGUUAUUUAGAAAUGUAUUACACAAUAUUGUUAAUUAUAGUCAUUCUACCGUUCAAUAGAACGGCACAAUUUAUUUCUCCUAUUUGACUGUAAUUUUGUACUCUUUAACCAGCCUUUCUGCCUCUCUUCUGCUCUCCUUUUUCCCUCUACCCUCCUCAGCCUCUGGUAAUCACUAUUCUAAUCUGUACUUCUAUGAGAUCAGCCUUUUUUAGAUUCCACAGGUGAGUGAGAUCAUGUGGUAUUUGUCUUUUUGUGCCUGGCUUAUUUUACUUAGACUUGUUUUCUUAAUUUUAUUUUUGGAUUGUUCAUUGCAAGGUAGAACUACAAUUGAUUUUUGUUGAUGAUCUUGUAACCUGCAACGCUGAACUAAUUUCUAAGUUCUAGUAGUUUUUAGUGGAUUCCUUAGAAUUUUUACGUUCAGGAUCAUGCCAUCCACAGAUAGGGAUACUUGUACUUCUUCCUUUAUAACUUCAGUGCCUUUCAUUGUGUUUUCUUUUAAAAUUGCCCUUGCUGGAAUCUUUAGUACAUUGUUGAAGUGGAGAGAGUAGGCAUCCUUGUCUUUUGCCUGAUUUUAGGGGAAAAGCUUUUGAUCUUUAAUUAUUUAUUGAUAUUAUUAUUAUUAUUAUUAUUAUUCUUAGUGACAGGGUCUCACUCUGUCACCUAGGCUGGAGUGCAGUGGCGCAAUCCCUGCUCACUGCAGCCUCGGCCUCCCAGGUUCAAGUGAUCCUCCUGCCUCAGCCCCCCAAGUAGCUGGGACUACAGGGAUCUGCCACCUUGCUGGCUAGUUUUUGUAUUUUUUUGUAGAGACUGGGUUUUGCCAUGUUGUCCAGGCUGGUCUCAAAUACCUGGGCUCAAGAGAUCCACCCGCCUUGGCCUCCCAAAGUGCUAGGAUUACAGGCAUGAGCCACUAUGCCCGGCCUGAUCUUUAAUAAUUAAGUAUGGUGUUUCUGUAAAUUUUUCAUAGAUGUUGUUAUCAGGUUGAAGAAAUUUCCUUCUGUUCCCAGUUUAAGUAUUUUUUUUUGUUUUUAAUGAAAAGAUGUUGGGUUUAAUGAAAACCUCUUUAUAUCCAUUGAGAUGGUCAUGUGGUUUUUGUCUUUUGUGCCCUUAAUACAGUGUAUUACACUGCUUUUCAUAUAUUUAUCCAGCUUUUUAUUUUUGGAAUAGACACAGUCAUGGCGUGGAGUUCUUUUUAUAUGUGUCUGAAUUUGGUUUAUUAUUUUGUUGAGGAUUAUUGUGUUUAUAUUCAUAAGGGAUAUUGGUCUGUAGGUUUCUUUUUUUGUAAUGCCAUUGUCUGGUUUUGCCAUCAGAAUAUUACUGACCUCAAGGAAUAAGUUAGGAAGUAUUUCCUUAUCUUCCUUCUUUUCAAGGACUUUCUGUAGAGUUUAGCAGUGAAGUUGUCUGGGCCUUGGCUUUUAUUUGUGGAUAGUGUUUUGAUUACUAAGUCAAUCUCUUCACUUGUUAUAUAGGUCUCUUUAUCUUACCUAUUUCUUACUAAGUCAGAUUCAGCAGUUUUUGUUUUUCUAGGAGUUUGUUUUAAGUUAAUCUGAUUUUUUGCCAUACACUUAUUUACAGCAUUUAAAAAAUGAGGUUGGAAGUAAUGUUCCCUCUUUCAUUUCUUACUCUAGUAAUUUGAGUCUUCUAUCUUUUUUUUGGUCAAUCUGGUUAAGGGUUUGUCAAUUUUGUUGAUCUUUUGGAAGUAGAAUCUUUUGGUUUCAUUGAUUGCUUUCUAUUAUUUUUCUA